ensembl:snoRNA
UGUACUUGUGUAUGUGUUUGUUUAACUUGUGGACAAAGACUGAAAUACAGAUGCAAAAGAUCCUCUUUUGCAACACAGAACUCAUUGAUCAGUAUGAGUUUUGAUAGAUACAAGCAGGAAUAGG